GGGUGAGUAAUAUAUCGGAACGUGCCCAGUCGUGGGGGAUAACGCAGCGAAAGCUGUGCUAAUACCGCAUACGAUCUCUGGAUGAAAGCGGGGGACUCGCAAGAGCCUCGCGCGAUUGGAGCGGCCGAUAUCAGAUUAGCUAGUUGGCGGGGCAAAAGCCCACCAAGGCGACGAUCUGUAGCUGGUCUGAGAGGACGACCAGCCACACUGGAACUGAGACACGGUCCAGACUCCUACGGGAGGCAGCAGUGGGGAAUUUUGGACAAUGGGCGAAAGCCUGAUCCAGCAAUGCCGCGUGCAGGAUGAAGGCCUUCGGGUUGUAAACUGCUUUUGUACGGAACGAAACGGUCUGCCUUAAUACGGUGGGCUAAUGACGGUACCGUAAGAAUAAGCACCGGCUAACUACGUGCCAGCAGCCGCGGUAAUACGUAGGGUGCGAGCGUUAAUCGGAAUUACUGGGCGUAAAGCGUGCGCAGGCGGUUAUAUAAGACAGAUGUGAAAUCCCCGGGCUCAACCUGGGACCUGCAUUUGUGACUGUAUAGCUAGAGUACGGUAGAGGGGGAUGGAAUUCCGCGUGUAGCAGUGAAAUGCGUAGAUAUGCGGAGGAACACCGAUGGCGAAGGCAAUCCCCUGGACCUGUACUGACGC
rnacentral:rRNA from 1 species